rnacentral:rRNA from 1 species
AAUGAACGUUGGCGGCGUGGAUUAGGCACGCAAGUCGAGCGAGAAUUUGCGAUUGGAAGCUUCGGCCGAAGAAAGUGAAGGAAAGCGGCAAACGGCGUAGUAAGGCGUAGGUACGUACCCUCGGGUCGGGAAUAGCCAUGGGAAACUGUGGGUAAUGCCCGAUAAUCUCUGCGGAGCAAAGGUGUGAUUCCGCCGGAGGAGCGGCUUACGUGAUAUUAGCUAGUUGGUGGGGUAAUGGCCUACCAAGGCAACGAUGUCUAGGGGGUGUGAGAGCAUGGCCCCCAGACCGGAACUGAGACACUGUCCGGACACCUACGGGUGGCUGCAGUCGAGAAUCUUCCGCAAUGGGCGAAAGCCUGACGGAGCGACGCCGCGUGGUGGAUGAAGGCCCUUGGGUUGUAAACACCUGUCAGAGGGGAUGAAAUCAUGGUUGGCAAUCCUUCCAUGUUGACAGAGCCUCAGAGGAAGCACGGGCUAAGUACGUGCCAGCAGCCGCGGUAAAGUG